UUACGACCACAUCAUGUUGAAUCACUGGUUCCUGUACAAUCACUAAAGUUAAACAACUUCAUGCCAGGUCAGCACCUUGAUGGGUGACCACUUGGGGAUACCAGGUGCUGUAAU